UGGGGAAUUUUGGACAAUGGGCGCAAGCCUGAUCCAGCCAUGCCGCGUGCGGGAAGAAGGCCUUCGGGUUGUAAACCGCUUUUGUCAGGGAAGAAAUCUUCUGAGUUAAUACCUCGGGAGGAUGACGGUACCUGAAGAAUAAGCACCGGCUAACUACGUGCCAGCAGCCGCGGUAAUACGUAGGGUGCAAGCGUUAAUCGGAAUUACUGGGCGUAAAGCGUGCGCAGGCGGUUUUGUAAGACAGAGGUGAAAUCCCCGGGCUCAACCUGGGAACUGCCUUUGUGACUGCAAGGCUUGAGUGCGGCAGAGGGGAUGGAAUUCCGCGUGUAGCAGUGAAAUGCGUAGAUAUGCGGAGGAACACCGAUGGCGAAGGCAAUCCCCUGGGCCUGCACUGACGCUCAUGCACGAAAGCGUGGGGAGCAAACAGGAUUAGAUAGCCCUGGUAGUCCACGCCCUAAACGAUGUCAACUGGUUGUUGGGAAGGUUCCUUCUCAGUAACGUAGCUAACGCGUGAAGUUGACCGCCUGGGGAGUACGGCCGCAAGGUUG
rnacentral:rRNA from 1 species